GUCCAAAAUGACUCUCGGCAACGGAUAUCUCGGCUCUUGCCAUGAUGAAGAACGCAAGCGAAAAUGCGAUACUUGGUGUGAAUUGCAGAAUCCCGUGAACCAUCGAGUCUUUGAACGCAAGUUGCGCCCGAAGCCAUUAGGCCGAGGGCACGCCUGCCUGGGUGUCACUAA
rnacentral:rRNA from 1 species